rnacentral:rRNA from 1 species
GCAUUUGUAACUAUCUUGGGAUGUGGGGGAUAGGCGGACCUAUAAUGCUCGUAAUCGAACUUUGGGUUUCCUGAACCGCCAUGAAAUCUAGGGGGAUCUCCUCGGACGAGACAUUGGCUAUUGGGGGCAAUUUGGAGUGGGAGGGAACAAAAAGGGCGGAUAUAUGGUGGCAGCAGUCGAGUGGGACACUUCCGGGUUAUCAUUCGUCUUAACCGUGUCGGGUUUUGCAGUCCAGCUCCACAUCGCGUACUCUCCCCUUCUUCACCCGAUGUAAGCGAUUGUAUCGCUUAGUGCCUGCUACUUGACUUUGUAAGUAGAAAUUCCUCCUAAAUCGUCAUUCACCCUUUAUCUCACAGGGUGACUUUGGCCGAGACUUCACGCAUGUGUGGCGGGCAGUGAGAGAGGUUCGACGGACUGUAAAUUAUAUUAUU